AUACGGAGGAUCCGAGCGUUAUCCGGAUUUAUUGGGUUUAAAGGGUGCGCAGGCGGCCAUUUAAGUCAGCGGUUAAAUCGUGGGGCUCAACCCCAUUCUGCCGUUGAUACUGGGUGGCUUGAUUGCGGUCGAGGUUGGCGGAAUUCGUUGUGUAGCGGUGAAAUGCAUAGAUAUGACGAAGAACACCGAUUGCGUAGGCAGCUGACCAGACCGCAAAUGACGCUCAUGCACGAAAGUGCGGGGAUCAAACAGGAUUAGAUACCCUGGUAGUCCGCACAGUAAACGAUGAAUACUCGCUGUUUGCGAUACACUGUAAGCGGCCAAGCGAAAGCGUUAAGUAUUCCACCUGGGGAGUACGCCGGCAACGGUGAAACUUAAAGGAAUUGACGGGG
rnacentral:rRNA from 1 species